rnacentral:lncRNA from 1 species
UGACAUAAUUCCAUUGUUUAUAAAAACUUCAGUUUAACAUGUCAGCUACUGAAAUAUUCCUGAUAUCCACAAAGGAUCAAGAGACGGUGGCUAGACAACUCCAUUUUCCUCGUUGUGAUGGGUACCGAGGGCAGCUUGCAGGAUGCUGCUGAGGUGGUGCGGUUUCGCAAGAUUUUAUGAAUGGAAGACAGGAUCAAGUGUCUAAAAAUAUGUGUUAAACACAUAGAAAGCAUGUGCUACAUGGAAAGAUUGCUGAAGAUCUGGAAUGUAAAGCCCCUAAGCCAAUUGCUUUGCAUUGUAUCUCCAUUUAAUGCACCUGAAGUGAAUAAAAUUUCACCAGUGAUGAAUCUGGCUCAAGCUGUUAAUUUGCAAAACAAUGUGGACAAGGGAGAAAAUAGCUCUUUUCCUGAAGGUAUUUCCCGAAGAUAUAUAUUAAGUAUCAAAGCAUACCAUAAAGAAAACUGCCUCACUGAUUUGUUAACAGCAUAUAGUACAGUGCAAUCU